rnacentral:rRNA from 1 species
GACGAACGCUGGCGGCGUGCUUAACACAUGCAAGUCGAACGGAAAGGCCCUGCUUUUGUGGGGUGCUCGAGUGGCGAACGGGUGAGUAACACGUGAGUAACCUGCCCUUGACUUUGGGAUAACUUCAGGAAACUGGGGCUAAUACCGGAUAGGAGCUCCUGCUGCAUGGUGGGGGUUGGAAAGUUUCGGCGGUUGGGGAUGGACUCGCGGCUUAUCAGCUUGUUGGUGGGGUAGUGGCUUACCAAGGCUUUGACGGGUAGCCGGCCUGAGAGGGUUAACGGCAACAUUGGGACUGAGAGACGGACCAGAAUGCUACGGGAGGCAGCAGUGGGGAAUAUUGCACAAUGGGGGGAAGCCUGAGGCAGAAACGCCGGGUGCGGGAUGACGGCCUUCGGGUUGUAAACCGCUGUCGCAGGUGACGAAGCGUGAGUGACGGUAAUGGGUAAAGAAGCACCGGCUAACUACGUG